UACAGAGGUCUCAAGCGUUUGUUCGGAAUUACUGGGCGUAAAGAGUGUGUAGGCGGUGCUCUAAGUCUGUCGUGAAAUCUCCCGGCUUAACCGGGGAGGCUGCGGCGGAAACUGGUGUGCUAGAGGGUGGGAGAGGUAAGCGGAAUUCCUGGUGUAGCGGUGAAAUGCGUAGAUAUCAGGAGGAACACCUGCGGUGGUAGACAGCUUACUGGACCACUUCUGACGCUGAGACACGAAAGCGUGGGUAGCAAACAGG
rnacentral:rRNA from 1 species